UACGUAGGCGGAAAAUUAAGUCAGUAGUGAAAUCCUGCAGCUUAACUGUAGAACUGUUAUUGAUACUGGUUUUCUUGAAUAUAGUUGAGGUAAGCGGAAUGUGUAAUGUAGCGGUGAAAUGCUUAGAUAUUACACAGAACACCGAUUGCGAAGGCAGCUUACUAAGCUAUGAUUGACGCUGAGGUACGAAAGCGUGGGGCGCGAACAGGAUUAGAUACCCUGGUAGUCC
rnacentral:rRNA from 1 species